rnacentral:rRNA from 1 species
AUCCUACGGGAGGCAGCAGUGGGGAAUAUUGGGCAAUGGGCGCAAGCCUGACCCAGCAACGCCGCGUGAAGGAAGAAGGCUUUCGGGUUGUAAACUUCUUUUAAGAGGGAAGAGAAGAAGACGGUACCUCUUGAAUAAGCCACGGCUAACUACGUGCCAGCAGCCGCGGUAAUACGUAGGUGGCAAGCGUUGUCCGGAUUUACUGGGUGUAAAGGGCGUGUAGGCGGGGAAGCAAGUCAGAUGUGAAAUUCCAGGGCUCAACCCUGGAACUGCAUUUGAAACUGUUUUUCUUGAGUGAUGGAGAG